rfam:Cariama cristata contig15422, whole genome shotgun sequence.
CAAACGGCUCUUUUAAGAGCCCCCACGCUUUCCUAAGAAGAGCUGU